rnacentral:rRNA from 1 species
GAUGAACGCUGGCGGCGUGCCUAAUACAUGCAAGUCGAGCGAACGGACGAGAAGCUUGCUUCUCUGAUGUUAGCGGCGGACGGGUGAGUAACACGUGGAUAACCUACCUAUAAGACUGGGAUAACUUCGGGAAACCGUAGCUAAUACCGGAUAAUAUUUUGAACCGCAUGGUUCAAAAGUGAAAGACGGUCUUGCUGUCACUUAUAGAUGGAUCCGCGCUGCAUUAGCUAGUUGGUAAGGUAACGGCUUACCAAGGCAACGAUGCAUAGCCGACCUGAGAGGGUGAUCGGCCACACUGGAACUGAGACACGGUCCAGACUCCUACGGGAGGCAGCAGUAGGGAAUCUUCCGCAAUGGGCGAAAGCCUGACGGAGCAACGCCGCGUGAGUGAUGAAGGUCUUCGGAUCGUUAAACUCUGUUAUUAGGGAAGAACAUAUGUGUAAGUAACUGUGCACAUCUUGACGGUACCUAAUCAGAAAGCCACGGCUAACUACGUG